GACGAACGCUGGCGGCGUGCCUAAUACAUGCAAGUAGAACGCACAGUUUAUACCGUAGCUUGCUACACCAUACACUGUGAGUUGCGAGCGGGUGAGUAACGCGUAGGUAACCUGCCUGGUAGCGGGGGAUAACUAUUGGAAACGAUAGCUAAUACCGCAUAAUAUUGAUUAUUGCAUGAUAAUUGAUUGAAAGAUGCUAUUGCAUCACUACCAGAUGGACCUGCGUUGUAUUAGCUAGUAGGUGAGGUAACGGCUCACCUAGGCGACGAUACAUAGCCGACCUGAGAGGGUGAUCGGCCACACUGGGACUGAGACACGGCCCAGACUCCUACGGGAGGCAGCAGUAGGGAAUCUUCGGCAAUGGACGAAAGUCUGACCGAGCAACGCCGCGUGAGUGAAGAAGGUUGUCGGAUCGUAAAGCUCUGUUGUAAGAGAAGAACGGGUGUGAGAGUGGAAAGUUCACACUGUGACGGUAGCUUACCAGAAAGGGACGGCUAACUACGUG
rnacentral:rRNA from 1 species